rnacentral:rRNA from 1 species
AUGUCGAGGAAGAGGCCAUCAGAUCGAAAACGGCCACCAUCGAAGGGCCCCGCACCACCGCCACCACCUGCCACUCACUCGCCGCCUCCACGGGCGAGGAGGACGGCCAGCACCGCCAGCCGCCGCACGCUGAAGCAGACGCCGACCCACCAGCCAUGGCCACCAACAUGGAUGCAGGGCACCUCGAGCGAGACCGAGGCUACUAGAUCCUCGCCGCCACCAUCCUUGGCAGCCGCGCGGCGCACCGGCGGCCCCUCUGGUGGCGACGAGGAGGAGAGGCAGGGAAGGGGAAGCGGCCGGCGGCAGCUAGGGUUGGCCGCCCGCGACGCGGGGGCGAGAGGCUGUCCGAAAUGUUUCUCCACACAGUUUGAUCAAAAUUAUAUAAUUCAUUCACGUAAUUUUGCAGUAUGGUGA